AACUCAGUUUGCAGUAAUCCACAGCCCUCAGAAAUAUUUGACUUCUACCUAUAAGUAAAUAAAGGACUUGUGAGGAAUGCAGCAAACAGGAAAUCCCUCCACAAAAGAUGCAGUGUCCCAACUUGUACUGCGCCUGAAUAGUUUACAUGAUAAUUUACUGAAGAAAUCUAGUGUACUUUAAAUUUUUUUCAUAAAAGUUUCCAUUGUGUUAUAGGUUAACAUUAAAUGUUUUAUAACAAAAAAAUCAUUCCUUUAAUCAUUCUGGUAAAAGAUUAAUAUCAAUGUAGUAUGAAUAAGCCCAUUAUAAAUAGCAUGUUGUCUGAAAAUGGAAAGAAGAGUUUAGAUACAUGAACCUGAAAGUCAUCACUAGAAACCACUAAGAUACCUAGAUUUUUCAUCUGAAUUCACUCAUUCUUAAUUGAUCAUUUAUCUAUCACCAGUAGGUUGGACUUUUUUGGGGGUUGGGAUAAAAAAAAAAAGAAAAAAAAUAAACUCUCCUUAAGUAACUUUCAUACAAUCAAGAGAAAGAAAAAAUAUAAACAGGUAAUAGCAACAUUCUCUAUCUGUAUACAAAAUGCUUAUAGAUGCUACUUAUUUAUUAUAUGCCCAUGUCAGAAUUUGUAUACAUAAACCAAGCCAGGGAUGCUGGCCACCUUUUUGAAUUUUUUCACCAUUUACCCAGCUCUUCAUUCUUGUUUGAUAGUUAUUAAACACCUGAGGGGAAGAAUCUAGUAAAACCAAAAUAUUUAAAUAGUCACACAAUGGUCAUUUUGACAGAGAUGUUGCUGGUCAUAAACCAGUCAUGUGGGGAUCCCUGGGUGGCUCAGCGGUUAGUGCCUGCCUUUGGCCUAGGGUGUGGUCCUGGAGUCCCGGGAUCGAGUCCCACAUCGGGCUCCUGGCAUGGAGCCUGCUUCUCCCUCUGCCUGUGUCUCCGCCUCUCUCUCUCUCUCUCUCUGUCUGUCUCUAAUGAAUAAAUAAAAUCUUAAAAAAUAAAUAAAUAAACCAGUCAUGUGAAUUACACCAAGUUAUUUUGCAGCUGAUUAUACAGCUGUAAGUACUUCUUUUAGUGAUUGCAUCAAGAGUACUAAUAUAUACAUCUGGAUUGGAAGACUGAGAUGCAGUAUUGAGGUGGAAGGCUUAUUUGAAAUCCAUCUGCUAUGGAUUUUAACUUCACCAGCUUGGUAAAAUGAUCUGAACCACAUAAUCUACUCUAGUAUCCUUUCCCAGUUUCAUAGGGAACAGCAGGAGAGAUACAAACUUGCGAGAAAUCCAAAGUUGGAAACCUUUUCAUGUAGUGUUCCUGAAUCUCAAGGAAAUCCAGCUUAUUAGUUUCAAAAGAAUCUUUCAGCCACUACUGCAUCUAUGCUUCCAUCUGGGUGGGGACCUAACUGAAAUGUGACUCCAUGUUGGAAACCAGUAUACAGAAAAGCCAGUUCCCAGCUUCAGAGGGGAUUGGCAGAAUACAGUUUGGAUCCAGGUUCAGUAAGUACAAUUUGCUAGUUUAUUUUAGUUUCCAAAGCCAUCCAACUUUGAUUUGCCCUGGCUCUUGAUUUUUUAGAAACUUGGCAAUAGAAUGAUCUUAUUAAAUAGAUCCUCCCCUCAUAUAAGCAUCUUCAGAUUGAGAGGCCACAUAAAUUUUGUUUUUUCAAUUCUAAACGCAUACAAGAUUUUUAUCUGUCCCAUUAUGGAUCAGACUUGCCUUUCGUUUCUCCCUAGCUCUCCUGUAUUUUUUUCUGUAUUCAUUUAGAUUUAAUUUUUUUAAGGCAAGAACCAUGUAUAAGGUGACUUAUUCAUGUUCAAAAUCUUAGUACUUAAUACAAAAUCUGGCAUAUAGUCAUUAAUCAAUAGCAUUAUAGUUAAUAAUACAUAUUAUGAGGAAAACAUUUUCUAUUAACAUAGAUUACUUUUCAGGCCUAUCAUAUAUGACAUAUGUAUAUACACAUGUAUACACAUAUCUGUGAUACAUAUCUCUCUAUAUGUUUCAGUAAUAAUUGGUAUGUGAAGUUGUACCUGCACAUAUAUAUAUAAUCUCUAUCAGAUUCCCUAGCCAUAAUAUCAACACAGCAAAGAAUACAACUUAAUAAAAAGAUUUAUGAUUAGUAAGUUAAACAGAGAAUGGCAAUGUGACCCAGCAAUUUCACUCCUAGGUAUCUGCUCAAAAGAAUGAAAACUAUUAUUCAAACAAAAAAUUGUAUGUAGAUGUUCAUAGCAAAAUUCACAAUAGCCAAAAGGUAGAAAUGAUGCAAAUAUCCACCAACUGAGGAACAGAUAAUCAGAAUGUGACGUAAUACAUGUAAAGAAUAUUAUUCAGCCAUAGAAAUAAUGAAGUCCUAGCACAUGCUACAACAUGGAUCAAGCUUGAAAACUUUAUAUAAUAAGGGAAAGAAACCAGACAUAAAAGUUACAUAUUAUAUGAUUCCAUUUAUAUCAAAAACCCACCCUGACACAUACAUAGAGACAGGAAGAAGAUCUGUGGUUGCCAGGGGCUGGGCUGGGCAUGAAGUGAUGGGAAGAUAAUAGUUGGUUUCUUUUGGGGUUGAUAAAAAUGUUUGGAGCUAGAUAGAAGUGAUGGUUGUCACACAUUGUGAAUGUAAAGUAAAUGCUAAAUUUCACAUUUGAAAGUGGUUAAAAUGGUAAAUUGUAUGUGGAUUUUACCAUAACAAAAAUAUUUGUGCCAGAAUUGCUGUUUAAUCAAACUACAUUUUAAAAAUUCAAAAUCUUGAAUUCAUUAUUUUUUUCUAGAAUUUUAUAGCAGUUAUAGCUCACCUGACUUACUUGACUAAAAUCCUUUUUUUUUUUUUUAAGGAAACUUCAGUCUAUUGAAAUCUCUGUUCUCUAUCGAUGAAAAUAUAUCAAAAUCAUUAAUUAUUUUAGUUGAAAUGAUUGUUAUCCAUAGUGCACCUACUCUUUUCUUUUCCAUUAUAAUAACUAAUUCAAUGCUGUUCCUUUGAGAAAAAGGCAGUUUUUUUUAAAUUAAAUACUGAAAAUCUAAAUAUUUUUCUGGAUACAGUUAAUUUUUUCAAAGAAAAUUAUUUUAAAAGUUUUACCAGCCUUGCUUUGUAGUUCAUAAUCAUUAGAGUUCAUAACAUAAUCAUUACUUUACUGUCUUACGUCUCACUGGAUAGAGAUCAUCAAUAUGUAAAUUAUAUAUAUAAUAGAUGGAGUUAUAAACACUAAAAGUAUCGAGUCAAUGGAAUAAUAUUACGAAGGAGAGAUGAUGUUGAAAUUAUGGUGGUGUAGAUGAGCUUCACUGAAAAAUAUAAACUUUCACAUGCAUCUAGAAAAUUGAUAGGAUUUGAUAGUUUACCAUAGCAGGAGAGAAUGAUGAACAUUCCAGGUGUCCAGGCAAGACAGAAGAUGCUUCAGGAUUUUAAUAUCUCCAUUGUAAAUGAUUGAAAAUGCCUUGCCACUAUUUCCCAGCAUGUAACUGCAUCCACUCAUACAUGUCCAAUACACUCUGGGAUGAGAGAUCUUUCUAAAAGACAAAUCUAUUUGGCCUAAUAAUUACAAUAGCAUGCAUUUAUGCAGUGGUUACUUUGUCCCAGACACUGCUGUGUCUUCAUGGUUAAACACUUAAUCAUCAUAAUAAUUGUGCAAGAUUUUUCCUUACCCUGUCAAAAUACUUAUAAAUAUUACAAGAAAAUCAGAUUCUGAAUCCUAUCAUGAGCUGCCUGUAUCUUCUGACUCAAUGUUCAAACCAAAUGACUCAAAUACAAGAGAAACAGUAACUUAUCCAAUUAUCUAAUAGGUACUUACUGAAUGCCACGUCCUCUCACCCCUCCAUAUGUCUUCGUCUGUGUGAUGUCUAUGGACUCAAAUGUUCCCUACUACCUUCGUAUUUCCUCUUUUGUAUGAAUGUACAUUCCCUCUCACCUUUGAGCAGUAUUCUCUGAUGUAAAAAUAGUUACACUUUGUUUUUAUGCCCAGGUUUUGGCUAUUAUUUAUAAAGCUGUGUUAAAUAUUCAAAUAUAGUUCUUUGUGUAAACAUAUAUUUUCAUUUUUGUUGGGUAAAUGCCUAUAAAAGGAAUUGCUGGAUCAUUAGGAAAGUCAAGUUUAACUUUCUGAGAAACUGCCAAACCACUCUCCAAAGUGCAGUGGCACAUUUCAUUUCUUACAAUCAUUUUGUCCCUCAUCUUCAACAAAACUUAGUAUUAUUGGUUUUAUUAAUUUCAGCCAUUCUGCUGAGCAUGUAGUGCUAUCAUAUGUGAUCUGGUUUGUGUUUUCCUAAUGACUAAUGAUGUUGAGCGUCCUUUCCUGUGUAUUUUCCAUUUGUUUAUCUUUUAUGGUGAAAUGUAUGAUAAAAUCAAAACCCCAUUUUAAUUAAGUUACUUGGUUUCAUACUAAGGAGUAGUAAGAUUAUUUAGAUAUUCAACUUACAUGUCCUUUAUCACAUAUAUGUGUUACAAAUAUUUCACUUGAAUUUACAACCCUGAGGUCAGGAGUCCCUCGCUCCACUGACUGAGCCAGCCAGGCUCCGUAGCCUGCUUUAGUUUUUUAUACUACUUUGGACUCUUAUUUUUCCUGAAUCUGUGUGUAUAUACUUUUUAUCAACUUGGGAAAAUUCUGGCUAUUCGUUAUUCAAAUAUUUUGUUCUUACUCUGUCCUUCAUUUUCUAGCAAUCCAAUUACAUAAAUGUAUGCUCUGUUAAUAUACCAAGUCCUUUGUUUUUAAGCUUGGUAAGAAAGGUCUUGGGAAAUUUUUAUACUUAAUUUAGCUUCAAAACUAAGGCAGUAUCCUGAGGACUCUACUUAAUGCCCUGCGUAUCACUAGGUCUUUCCACACUGGCAAGUGGAAACAUGAGUUAUCCUCAGCCCUGUGAGAGCUCCAGGAACUUUUCUACUCCUUUCCUGUGGCUCUUUCCAAGGCUUCUGGUACUUUCUUCUCAUGAAAUGUACAGAGCAAUACUCAGUGACAGAACUGGGAGAUUCUUUGAGGUUUUACAGAGUUGUGUGUCUCUGCAACUACCCACUCCACUCUCUUAUUCUGACCUGUCAAAUCUAGUUUUCUUGACUGCCCCCAAAAUUUGGUCUCUAUCUCUGCAACUUGGCAAGAUGGCUUAAUUCCAUUACAGCUAACCCUCCUUUGUUGUUUGGUACAAUUGAAGGGCUCAUCUUUUUUUGUGGUUCACUUAUGCCAGGGGUCAUAGUCCUAUGUUGCUUGUUGUCCAAUAUUUGAAAAAUGUUACUUAUGUUUUGUCUACUGUCUAAUUGUUUAACACAGAAGAGGUUUUCUUUUUUUUGGUGUUUUGUUUUGUUAUUGUUAUUUCAUCCUAACCAAGGUUGAAGUUCUAGUCCCAAUUCGACAUGUUGAGUUUAAGGAAUUGAUGAAACAUUUAGCAAGGUGUCAAAACAGGCAAACAUGGCCUUAGAAAGGAGCUUAUUUUUAUAUUAAAUUUCCCAAUUAUUUUUUAAGUAUAAAUUUGAAAGUAGAGAAAUAAGUGAUUCAUUGGGAAUUACUAUAUAUUAUAUUCAAAAUGCAGAAGACUAAAGAUGUAAUUCUUGGGGAGUUAUAUGUAAGAGAAGAAAGAUUUAUAAAAGUAAAGUUAUAUGUUAAAUAAAAGCAGGCACAAUUUUAAGAAAUUUGGAGUUAUUCUGAAAAUUGGUACUUAAAGGAAGAACCAUGUUCUGAUGUUUUCCCCUAAAAUUUCAGCAAGUUCUAAAAAAAAUAAACAUAAAAAUAAAAUAAAAUAAAAUUUCAGCAAGUUCUUGAUUGAAAAAUUUUAAAGGGAUAUUAUUUUCCAAUGAAAUGACAGUUGGUAUCAGACAUUUGUGCCUGCUGACAAGACAGUGACAUGGUACCACAACAAGUGCCUAUGAUUCAAAUGGUGUCUAGACAGGAGGGAUCGUUUUGAACUUCUUAUUUUUCACUGUCAUCAAAUUCUGUAUCAUACAUUUUCUUUUAUGCACAGUGAUUAGACAUAGAUUUUACAUAAAAAGAACAUAGAGGGGACAAUACUGUUGUAUACUGUAAAUAAUUAGAGGAGUCAGUUUAAGUAGAUUGUUCAAGUUAAGUAGAUGUUCAAGAGUAUAGUCUAUAGCUCUCUCAUGAAGAUAAAAUCAAAACACUGAACUGUGACUUAAUUCUUUGAUAUAUACAUGUACACAUGCAUGCAUAUUUAAAUGAUUGAGAUAUGAUACCAAAUUAAAUCAUCUGUCAAUCUAAAAUAAUUCUAGUAGACUAAUUUAGUGACUAUUCUAUUUCACUUUGCUAGAUAAAUAUUGUUAAAGAGUUGUAAAACUAGAACCUUUAGUUUUAUAAUUACAUUAAAAUAUAUCCUUGACUCUAUCUUUGAUUGGUAGUUCCCUGGGAGAUGAAGGAAUUUUGUGAUAAAAAUAUAAGUGAACAUCUGAAUUUAAAGAAACCUGUGAAUUUCUAGAGAAUUAUAAAUUAUCCUUAAAUUACCAAACUUUAAGUGAUCAGAAAUCAUAUAGAGCUAAUCAUGUCAGCUAUUCUGAAAAAGUUUAAUAAUUUCCUAGUUAAGCCCAUUUGGAAAUGCACAGAGAAAAAAUUUUAAAUGCUUUAAAAAUUUAUUAUAUCUUUUCGGAAAGAAAUUUCUGGGGUAAGUACAGUACAUUUCAAAGACAUAAGAAUCAUAAACAUGAGUGGGAAAUAUCAGAAAGGGAGACAGAACAUAAGAGACUCCUAACUCUGGGAAAUGAACAAGGGGUGGUAGAAUGGGAGGUGGGCAAGGGGUGGGGGUGACUGGGUGACGGGCACUGAGCGGAGCACUUGAUGGGAUGAGCACUGGGUGUUAUGCUAUAUGUGGGCAAAUUGAACACCAAUAAAAAAUAAACAAAUAAAAAACAAAGACAUAAGAAUCAAAUGAUCACGUCUUUACUAAUUUAUUUUGGCAUUAAAACCAUGUUCAAUUAUGGAUCAACUUUGUAUACAUAUUCCUAAGAACUAUCCAUAAUUCCCCAAGUUUAGAUUAACUUUUAGUAAAAUAUAUACAAAGAAACUGUAGUCUGUAUUUUAUUUUCCCCAAACCUAUAGUAAUUUUAUUUAUGAAGCAAAAAUAAAACAUUUAUCUUUAAAUUAAAUAGCGUCAUAAUACCAACAUUUUGGAAAGCACUUUAUUCUUAAUCUACGUAGGACUGGAAUAAACAUAAACUGUGACCUACUGUAUCUUAACCCCUGAGAAACUCAUAUCCGCAUGUACCCAAAUGUAUGUAUAAUUUUCAGAAAAGCAUUGUUCAAAAUAGUUUGACAGUAGGGAGUAAUGUCCAAACAUUUAUCAACAACAGAAUGCAUAGAGUGUGGUAUUAUCAUUACAAUAUUAUAAUUAAGACCUAUAACAAUAAUUUAACCACAACCACACUCAAGAACAUAACUGCAUCUUAUGAUACAUUGUGAUAAAGAUGUAAGACAUAGAAAUACAUAUAAUGUGAUUUUUUUGGAGGGGGUUAAGAACGGGUAAAUCUAAACUUCAUCCUUUGGGAUGUACACCUAGAUAGUAAAACAAAAAGAAUAAGGAAAUUAUUGCUAAGUUAUGAUAGGGUUCUUGCAGAGUGAUGGAAGGUGAUUGCUUGAGGGUUUCUUGAGUUCUUUUUCUUGGCCUAGAUGUUGUUUAUAGGAUCACAUACAUUUUAAUUGUUUGUUAAACAAUUAUUUGUCAAAGCUGUGUUUGAUGCACUUGUGUCUAUGAAUGUAUUUUACAAUAACAAAAUAUUUUUAAAUAUAAAAUUUCAGAAAUGACCGACCUAACAAUAUUUGGUAUAUAACAGGUUUUCAAGCUCUUUACAAGUUUCUGUACAAAUGACUUUUUCUCUAUGUCAGUUUUAUCAUUUGCUAUGUAAAUAUUAAGCAUCCUCUUCAUAUUUCUAAGCAGAUUAAUCUAUGAUUUAAUCUUUUUAUUUGAACAAACUUUGUUUAACCGGUGCAGCCCUGUCAAUUUCCCCAUAUGUUGCUUUCAUAUUUCACUAUGAAUAAUUUAUCCCUCUCAAGUUAAUAUGGAAAAACAUGAAUUUUAUUGAUGAUACCUCUUGUGUUUAAUUGUGAAGCACCACUGUGACUUAUGAGACUUGUGUUUUUGUUAUUUACUUGUAAUUUAUUAAGAUCUGUCUUUGGAAAGGGGCAAAUAGAACACAUGUUGUUGAUGACAAUAUUUGAUAGUCAAUAAUCAUUACCUGAUUAAAAUAUAAGAAUCAGGGAUGGGAUACUUAUAUCUUUUGUAAGUAAAGGCAGGAAUAUAGGCUGCAGAGAGAAAAAGGACAGAAAAUCCAGGCCUAUGAGAUACUUGGAGAUGGAUGUCUAAGAGAUCCAGAUACCCAGAUUCACAAAAAACAGUGGCAUAUGGAUUAUAUGCCAUAUGUAAUUUCUGAAAGAAUUCCUAUCUGCUAAGUAUCAAUCCAAAAAGCAGUAAUUGAUGAAUAGGAUUGAAGUUCUUUCAAUAGCCUGCUUUAAAUAUAGAUGGUAUAAAAUCUGUUUCGUGAGAAAAAAGAUAAUCUGAUAGAAAACUGUAGCUAUAUGAUAUUAAGUAAAUGGUUCUUAUUUCUUCAUAUAAAAAGCACGUGACCGCCAUGUAAAGCAAGUGAUUUUUAGGUUGAAAACCUCAAACAUGCCUGGUUCUUGAUGUGCAGAAUCCUUUUCUGUAUGAAAGAAAGACCUUGGAUCUUUUGGGGUUUUUAUUUGAGGAUUCCAGUGUUCAGUAUGUUAGUAGAAAGUCCACCAGUGUAGCUGACGCAUAAGUUCACAAUCUCAUGUAGGCAACUGCAUCCUUGGGAUGGCCUGCCCCAUGCUAAUUGCCGACCAAGCAAGAGUUCAUUUUUGCCUGCGUUCUUCCAUGAGGAUACAACUAGAAUGAGUGCUGGUGUGGGGGGAGGCUAAACUCCACAUCUACCCAUCUUAGGUUCUCCCGGGGGGACUCAUUACCAACAGGAUAUCAUCAAAAGAAAAAAUUUAUAAAGGUUUGCAGUGCACAUCACACUGAAGAAAUCAAAAACAAAGAGGAACUCAAAGCAGCAGCUUAAAACUGUCGGCUUUAUAGCGUCUUCAGCAAAGAACAAUAAUACAUUUGUAGAAAGAAUGAUAGCCUAAAGAAAAGCAGUUUUAGGCUAUCAAGGGCGGCAAACUGGAAAGGUAAAUAUAUGGGAAGACAUUAACACUAAGAUUUGUUUCUGGAUUCCUCUUCCCAAAAAUAUAUAUACAUAUAUAUUUUGGGGUGGCUUACCCCGGCUUCCUUCACAAGGCUUUAUACCUGGCUCUCAGGAAUCCCUGCUGAGCCAAGCUCUAGUUAUUGGUAUUUGAGUUAAAUUACAGUUAUAGGUGGAAUGGGUGCAUGAGUCAUUUCAUUAGAAUGUUUCAAAAGAUGUGCCCUUAGUCUCUUCUUUGGCCAAAAGUGUGUGCAGAAGCCCCAUCCUCUAAGGGAUUGUACAGAAUGUCUGGCGCUCUGUAGAGUUGGUUUUUUUCCCCCCUCCUGAGGAAAGCAAGAUUACUCUUUAACAGUUAAAAGCAUUGUCCUAUUAGGGAUAAUGUAACACCACAUCAUCCUUCCUGUGUAGUACAUCAUUAUGCAUACACUAUAAAAACAGACUCUGCAUGGUGACUAAUUUUGGAAUAAACCCAUAGACUAAAUCACAGCAUAUAUAAAUCAUUUCUAUCUCAGCUGCUCACUUAAACCUGAACAAAUUUUCUGGAAGCAUGUUAAUUUUCCUAUGAUACUCCUUAAUAUUCCUUGCAGAGCUGGUUUGGUGGUCACAUAUUCUUGCAGUUUCUGCCUAUCUUGGAAGCUCUUGAUCUCUCCUUCUAUUCUGAAUGAGAGCCUUGCUGGAGAGAGUUUUCUUGCCUGCAUGUUCUUCUCAUCUAGGACCCUGAAUCAAUCCUGCCAGCCCCUUCUGGCCUCCCAGGUCUCUGAGGAGAGGUCUGCUAUUAAUGUAAUAAUUCUCCCCAUAUCGUUAAGAAUCUGCUGUCUCUAACUACUUUACGGAUUUUCUCUUUUUCUAUGGAAUUUGCAAGUUUCACUAUUAAGUGUCGAGGUAUUGAACGGUUUUUAUUGAUUUGUGGGGAGGACCACUCUAUCUCCUGGGUCUGAAUGCCUGUUCCUCUCCUCAAAUUAGGGAAGUUCUCAGCUUGGAUUUGUUCCAAUAUGCUUUCUGGCCUCUGUCCUUCUGGGUGCUCUCUGGAACCCCAGUGAUGCGUAAUUCUUCCUUCUGAAGCUGUCAUGUAUUUCCCUUAACCUUUCCUCGUGGUCCUUUCAUUGUUUUUCUCUGUUUUCCUCAGCUUCCUUCCUUGCCAUCAAGGAGUCUUCUAUGUUGCUCAUUCUUUCUUCCAGCACCUUAUGCCUUGUCAUUUGGACCCCCAAUUUGAAUUGCACCUCAUUUAAUUGAUUUUUAACUUGAACCUGAUGAGAUCUUAAUUUUGCAGUCCUGAAGCCUCCACCCGCCCCGGGGGGAGGCAGGACUGUGGCCCUGUCCCCCGUGCCCUGGGCUCCGGGGCCUUUGCUGCUGGCAUCGCGCUCUCAGGGCCACUGAGGGCGCCCGAAGGCAGGCACAGAGUCCCGCCUGCCCCCCCCUUCUCCUCGACGCCCUGCUGGCUGCAGUUCCAGAGCUAUCCUGAGCUCGGCCCCUUCCUGUCUUGUCUUGUUAGAAUCCGCUCCCCCCACCACCACCACCCCGCUUCUUUCUUUCUUGGUAUCCACCUUCCACCUUGUUAGAAGGGAAAACCCUUCUCUUUAACUCUCAGGUCACAUUGGUAGGUGUCCAGGAUGACUGGAAAUUUAUCUAGGUGAGUUGGCGGAUCCGGUGAGUUGAGGACUCUACUCUCAGGCCUUCUUCCCCCUGUUGUCUCCUUUUUGUUUUAAAGCCCUUUCUGCGGAUCCCUGGGUGGCUCAGCUGUUCGGCGCCUGUGUUUGGCCCAGGGCGUGAUCCUGGAGUCCCAGGAUCCAGUCCCACGUUGGGCUUCUGGCAUGGAGCUUGCUUCUCCCUCCUCCUGUGUCUCUGCCUCUCUCUCUCGCUCUCUCUCUCUCUUCUUUCUCUCUAGGUCUAUCAUGAAUAAAUAAAUCUUUAAAAAAAAAAAAGCCCUUUGUACAUGAUCUACCAGUGUGUUGUGGUCCCUGUAAGGGCUCCGUUUCCAUUUCCACGUAUGUUUAUGAGUGAGUUCUGCAAUUUUGGGUUUAGCUCCACUGACAGCAGGAGAGGAGUUACUAUUCCAGCAGCAUUGUUUUCAACUCAUGAAUGAAAUGGAAAGUCAUUUCCCUGUCUGUCUGGAACUUGUAAUUACUUGAUUAUUUAAUUAGUUUCCUUUGUAUCUAUUUCAUUUUGCAUGACUCUAUUAUGGUCCUGCCUUUCUUUAUGGUAGUGCAUUUUCAGGAUAUCCCUAUGCAUAAAAAAAAUCAUUAUUCUAGUUUGCUUGUGUCCCAUUCAUAGGUCAAAAGUUCCAAGCCAUAUUCCUACUGUUUUCUUUCUUUUUUUUUUAAUAUUUUUUUCUUUAUUUAUUUAUGAUAGAGAGAGAGAGAGAGAGGCAGAGACACAGGCAGAGGGAGAAGCAGGCUCCAUCCACCGGGAGCCCGACGUGGGAUUCGAUCCCGGGUCUCCAGGAUCGCGCCCUGGGCCAAAGGCAGGCGCCAAACCGCUGCGCCACCCAGGGAUCCCUCCUACUGUUUUCUGUGUGAAUAUUUCAAUUUAGAAGGAAACCAGAUGGAACAUCGUGUUUGAGACCAUGGUGCCCAAAGGAAGUGAAAGGAUACCUGGAGGAAGUUGUUUGUCCUGAAGGAUGUGUCUCUCCAGUCCAUUCAGGAUGGUGACUACAACAUUCCCCAGCCAAGCAGGAGACACCGUUGAUGAGGGAAAGUACCCCAUCACUGUUUUAUAAGCAGCUUUGGUGUCGCCAAUGGUAAACAUCCUCUCAGAUAAGCUAAUGCAUGGCAAGAGGCAAGCACUCAGCACCCUUGCCACCAGGAAGAUUAUGUAUUUCAUCUCAAAUGGACGCUGUCUGAUGGUCAUCAGAAUUUGUGUGGAAAGCAACCGAGAAAGCAACAUUCGUUCCUCAAAGAUACUGAGCUCACCUUGACAGCAUUAACUUGCACUUCUCCUCUGAUGUUCUGGAAUAAUCUCAUGAUGAAGGGAUCAUAAAGUGCUUCUAGAAGGACACAGAGUACCCAUCAGCACAUGGGUCAUGCUGCUCAAGAAUAAUUCAGGUAGUGGUGCCUGAGUUGCUCAGUCAGCUAAGAGUCUGCCUUUGGUUCAGGUCAGGGUGUCUGGGACCUGAAAUGGAGCCUGAUGUGGGGCUCCCUGCUCAGCAAAGGGUGUGUUUCUUUCUCUCCCUCUGCCCCUCUUGCCUCUUCUGCUCUCUCUCUCUCAAAUACAUAAAUAAUUUCUUGAAGAAAAUAAAAGGCUAAUUUGGGGACUGUUGAUCAGUAUGAAUGAAGGCUAGUGAACAUGAUGGCAUUUGGUAACUAAGCAUGGGCUGAGCUACCACUGUCGGGCCACUCACGGGGUUAGGGCUGGAAAAUAUGGUGUGUUAGGAGUUUCUUUAUUUUGGAGAAUGAUGAGAGAAGCCAAGGUGCAGUGUCAGUGGGACAAUGUCCUGGGAAAACUCUCUUAUUCUUCCUUUCUCCUUCUCCCUUUCUCUGUAUUUCUGUGUCCAUAGCUGUCUCUCAUUCUCUCUCUCUCUCUCUCACUCACAAUUCUCUCUCUGUGUCACACACAUGCACACACAACUCUGUCACACUCAUAGGUUUAAACAAGUCACUCCACCCUAAGAGUCAUGCACUCACAACCAUACCAAACAGUGAACACACCGGCUCCUAGUAUUGUAGAAAUGUAGGCAUGUUUUCUCACCUGGGAAAGCUGCCUAUCUCACACCCCCAAGCCUCAGGAACAUGGAACCGGGUGGCUGUCCAGAAGAGAACAGCAGGUUGCUGCAUCUGCCGUACUAUUUAGAUUUUUUUUUUUUCUGCAAGAGAGGGGUUCCAGAAUACAUACCACUUUCGCUGUUUUCUGAGACGUCUGCACUUACACAAAAGAGUAAACCAUGAGGGUCAGGUCAUGUGUGUCCUUUGUCAUUGGUUCUCCUAGUGAGUAUUCAACACCACAUGAGCAACAGUAGUAAAACGAUAGGCCUCCAAAGGAAGCGCAGGUUGCACCCAUGAAAAAGCAGGAGCUAUUCCUGGGGGAUGGAUCUCUCGUUCACUGAAGGAGCCACACGAAAUUCUUGAGGAAAAACUGCAUGUGAGAGAAAGGUCCCUUACUACACUGUUUAAAACAUCCCCUCCAAAACCCACAAAAAUGGUCCUUACUCCUAAAAAAUACACUGUUCCUUGUCAUAUCUGAAUUCGCUCCAAAAAGAGGAAAAAAGGACCAUUUCUAAUUCAGGAAAAUGGGUGAGCAUUCCAUAGAAGAAGUUGGAAACUCAUUCACUGACUUUUUUGUGGAAAAACUCCUGCACCACACACUUGGCAAGAUUUAGGAGGACACAAAAUAACUGUCAAUGCAUUCAUGGGAUGUGGUGCUCAGGAAUUACUGAGCGAUCACUGUUUAUAUGGAUACAGGCCAAGACUAUUGUAGUGAGUGAUUAAUAAGUAUCAUAUGAGGGUCUGGGGUCCAUCCUCCUUGGUGGACGAGGAAAACCUUCAGCUCAGGCCAAGGCCCCAGUGUCCUGCAAUCCAUCCCCUCCUUGGGGCCUUGUUCAGCCCAGAAUGUGCUUCCCCCUUUCCCUCUGCCUUUCUCCCUUGCUUAUGCGUGCUCUCUCUCUGAAAUAAAUAAAAUCUUCCCCAAAAAGUCAAUGGCAACUUCAAGUAGCCUGACAUAAUCAGUGCACAAAUAGAACUGAUCUGCACAUCGAUUCCAAUGAUGACUUCCCAUCGCUCAUGCAGCUUGUUGUGAAACCCAACUAAAAACUCCCACCUUCUGGACAUCUGGCAAAAUCAUUUCUGUCUCUGUAGGUCCACAUAUGCUGUCCUCUCUUUUGCAAAUUUUUCAACCUGAAAAACCCCUUUUCUUGGUAGGUUUGAUUCAAUGCUAGACAAUUAUUCUCUUUUGUUCUAUUUAGUCUAGUGCUCUGUUGUAUUUAUUCACUAACAGGUUUUUUUUUUUUAAGGUUUAUGUAUUCAUGAGAGACGUAGAGGCAGAGACAUAGGCAGAGGGUGAAUCAGGCUCCAUGUGGGGAACCCGAUGCGGAACUCGAUCCCAGGCCCACAGGACCAUAACCUGAGCCAAAGGCAGAUGCUCAACCACUGAGCUACCCAGGUGCACCGGUAAUCAGUUUGGUGAAAAUAUUCCAUCCGGGAGAGGUUUAAAUACUCAAAGUAUACCAUUUACCAAUAGCCAUAGCUGUGAAGCAGAGUAGGAGGGACAGGCUUCCCAUUAUGCGUUAAAAAAAUCACGGAGAUCAAACGUACAGCAUAGGGAAUAUGAUCAGUGGAAUUGUAAUAGUGCUCUAUAGGGACACAUGGUAUCUACACUUGUGGUGAGCACAGUAUUACCCUAUACAAGUAUCGAAUCCAUAUGUGGUACACCUGAGACUAAUGUAACCUUGUGUACCAUCUCGAUUUCAAUUAAAAAAAAAAAAACAUAGUAAUGUAGGCACCAGGCUCAUUCCUUUAAUUGGGCAUCUACUUUGUGCUCAUAUCAUGAUCCCAGGGUCCUUGGAUACAUAAUAUUAUGUAUUUGUGAAAACAGUCAGGUGCAUAACACAGAGCAGUCCUUAAUAUAUGUGGUCAACUUCAAUGAUAAUAAUGUCUCUACACUGGUUUGUUCUUUGUGAUAAAAAUUCCACACUAAUGCAGGCAUGUAUGAUCGUGGAAAAUAUGUGCCAAGGGAUAGGGUGAUAUGGAAAUUUUUAUAAUAUAUGUUGCCUUAUGACACCAGUCUAAUCCUAAUCUCAAUAAUAAGGUCUCCUUAUUAAAACAUAAUCAGUGAUUUUAGGUUGUUAAUACUGUACACAGACUAGUGUCCAAAUGUUAGCUUCACAACCCCUACCUUUUAAUUUGACCAAAUUUGAGUGGUAAAAGCAGUUUUACUAUUUUGGCAUAAACUACUGACUGACCAUUUAAAUUAUGAAUUUCACAUAUAAAAUGUAAAUAAUAUAGCUUUGUAUUUUUGUCUUUAGUAUGGUAUCCUGAGCACAGUAAAAGAAUGAUUCUUUUUUUUUUUUUUUUUUUUUUUUUGUAAAGAGAGCAAAAGAGAAAGUGUAAGGGGGAGAGCAGUAGAGGAAAAGGGAGAGAGAAUACUAAGCAGGCUCCAUCCUAAGCAUGGAGUCCAACCUAGGAUAAUCUGAUGACCUGAGGUCAUGAACUCUGAGAUGAAACCAGGAGGCAGUCACAUACCUGAAUGAACCAAACCUGUGCCCCUGGAAUAAGUUUUCUUGAAUCAACUAAAGGAAUGAAUUUCCUGGUUACUUUCAAUCGACUCCUUUGCUGGUUGUAUUUUGGUUUUUCCUCAAGCGUGAAGUAGUUUGGUCCAGUUUUGUAUCCACAGAGAUCCAUAAACAUUUUUCACCUAAGGUUUUUGAUUGUAGACACUGGGAAACUCGGUUACCAUAGAGAGAGCUGUGGACAUCUUGCUGUCAGAAGACCAAGUGGAAAUUUUAAAACUUGACACGCACUAUCCAGGAUGAAAAUUCACUGGAUAGGCUCAGCAAUCCGAUGAAGAAACAAAGUAGACAGUGGACGUGUAAACAGAACGAGAGAAAUCAUACUAUCAUGAGAGGAGUGCAAAAAGACUGAACAAAAAUUGAUAGGAACUUAAACAUGCAUGCCUAGGAUACAUCAAAAGUGCUAAGUUCCACAGCAUGGAGUUCCUGUAGGAAAGCAGUUGGUGGUGAUCCCUGGGUGGCGCAGUGGUUUAGCGCCUGCCUUUGGCUCAGGGCGCGAUCCUGGAGACCCGGGAUCGAAUCCCACGUCGGGCUCCUGGUGCAUGGAGCCUGCUUCUCCCUCUGCCUAUGUCUCUACCUCUCUAUCUAUCUAUCUAUCUAUCUAUCUAUCUAUCUAUCUAUCUCUCUGUGUGUGACUAUCAUAAAAAAAAAAGCAGUUGGUGUAGAAGAAGGUAUGGGGGCAAAAUGGCUGAAAAUUUCAUAAAUAUGUGACUCAGAUCUACAAAGCUCUGAAAACCCUCCUCCUGACACAUUGUAACCAAUCUGCUGGCAAAGAGGAAGAAAAACCUUGAAAGCAGAGGAAAAGGACACAUUCAACCUAACAGAAUACGAAUUCCAAGGCCCGUGACUUCUCAGAAAACAGAGGUCAGAAGACACUGCAAUGGUGACUCAAAGUAUAGAAGGAAAACACCUCUGAGCCUAGGACGUUAUGUUCAGGAAAGAUAGCUUGAAAGAAUUAAGGCAAAAGGUGAAUGAAAAUGAAAACAAGACAAAGUCGGCAGACAAGCAGGUGGUAAACAACUGGAAGAAUCAGUCAUUGAGCAAAUAUUUAUUUAUUUUCAUUAAAAAAAUUUUUAUUGCA